ensembl:lncRNA
CUCUCUCCCUUUACGUCAGCGAUAAAACUUCCAAAGAAAUUAAUAAAACCUUUAUCGACUUUAUUUGGAAAAAUAAACCUUGCAAGUUAAAAAAGGACAUUAUAUCAGGCAAAAGAGUUGAUGGUGGCUUAGAGAUGUUAGAUUUUUUUGAUAUUAACAAUACUUUUAAACUUAACUGGUUGAGGAAACUGUCAAAGAAAUGAAAAUUCAUUAUGGUAGUAGCGAAAGGAAACUUCCUGAGUUAAUAAUUGAUGGUAUCAAACUAUUUUCUCAUUCCUGUAAGAAUAAAAAUAUCAGAUUAAUUUUUCAAUCCAAACCUAAAAUUUCUCCUAGAGGGAAUUUUUUUUGGAAUGCACAAAUUGCUGAUAUUCAUUGGAAAGAAGCAUGGUUAAAUCCAAACAAAUUUUGUAUGCUAAAUAAAGUUAAAGAGGUACACUUUAAAAUACUUCACAAAAUCUACCCAUGUAAAGCUUUGUUAUCAGAAUUCAUGGACAUUGACAAUAAGUGUAUUUUUUGUAAUGUACAUGAGGAAGAUUUGGCUCAUUUGUUUUACAAUUGUGAUGUAUCUUUAAAAUUUUGGUCUGACGUUAGUUUUUUUCUUUUUGCCCCAAGAAAGGUGAAUUAUAAAUUAUCUCUAAAAGAUGUUAUAUGUUCUUUCACACACAGAAGCAAAAUGUUUGAAUAUGUGGUGAACUUUUACAUCUUUAAUGGUAAAUAUUACAUCCAUAAACAAAAAUUUGCAAAAUGCAUACCUAAAUGUAAUUUAUUCUUAAUCAAGAUGGAAUCGCUAAAGAAAUCGUUAAAAUUAAUUAAAAAUAAAAAGAACGAAAUUUUGUUAAAAUUUAUGGAGAAAUUCUUGAUACUGUAAUGUCCCCAUUGUGUUCACUAAAUUAAAUGUAUAUUGAAUGUCUAAUUAGGAAAAAGGAGGAAAUAUUUGUUUGUUUGAUUUUUUUCCUUUUCUUUUUUUUUCGUUAUGGCUUGUCAUUGUCUAAAGGUGUGAUAUUU